UACAGAGGUCCCAAGCGUUGUUCGGAAUUAUUGGGCGUAAAGGGUGCGUAGGUGGCGGGGUAAGUUAGAUGUGAAAUACCGGCGCUUAACGUCGGAAUUGCAUUUAAGACUGCCUCGCUCGAGCUCUAGAGAGGAGACUGGAAUUUACGGUGUAGCAGUGAAAUGCGUAGAUAUCGUAAGGAAGACCAGUGGCGAAAGCGAGUCUCUGGCUAGCAGCUGACACUGAGGCACGAAAGCUGGGGGAGCAAACGGG
rnacentral:rRNA from 1 species